rnacentral:lncRNA from 1 species
GGGGGUUAUAAUAUUUCCCUUAUUUGGAUUACUUGGUGCCUGAUAUCAAUUUGAGGCAAAUGGGCCGCUUCAUCUCCUCAGAGCUAGCUUUGUGUAAUCCUUUUUCCACUUGCUCUUUUACCAAAAUAAAUGGCUUUCUUUGCUUUGGUCAGCAGUGAGCAGAUGAACUUGAAUUUAUGAACCUAGGUAAUCAGUAACAUCAGUAAGAGGCAUGAAGAGGUUUAUCAGGAAAAAAAUUUUUUUUUUUGGUAUCAGGGAUUGAACUUGGCUCUUUGUGCAUUGGAGGCAGGCACCAGAUCCACUGAGCUAAAUCCCCGGCUAUCAGGAAUAAUCUUAAAGAGAUCAGAGAGAACAGUGUUGGCCCUUGGAAAGAGAGCGUCAGACAGAACAAUUGCACCGCGACUGCAGGUGGAUCGGGGCCCAUACACGGCACCAGCUCAAUUACCAGACUCCUACUGGCUGACUUUAUGGGAUGACUGCUCAGAUGUGAGGCCUGGAGCUGCUGCAGCCAUUUCGCCACCACAAAGGAAGCAGCUUCAGGAAGAUACAAAGACUGCAGCGGACAGAACCAAAAGAGGAAAGAAAAACAAAACAGAACAAAAUAGGGCCCCUGAUAGUACCACUGGCCUCUAAACAAAACAAACCCUCAAACUCAUCUUACCUCUGGACUUUCCAGUAGCUGAAGCCAAUUUGAUUUGAUCUUCCAACGAUCCGCAACCUA